rnacentral:rRNA from 1 species
GCAGAACACUCCUACGGGAGGCAGCAGUGGGGAAUAUUGCACAAUGGGCGCAAGCCUGAUGCAGCCAUGCCGCGUGUAUGAAGAAGGCCUUCGGGUUGUAAAGUACUUUCAGCAGUGAGGAAGGUGGGUAUGUUAAUAGCAUAUUCAUUUGACGUUAGCUGCAGAAGAAGCACCGGCUAACUCCGUGCCAGCAGCCGCGGUAAUACGGAGGGUGCGAGCGUUAAUCGGAAUUACUGGGCGUAAAGCGCAUGCAGGUGGUUUGUUAAGUCAGAUGUGAAAGCCCGGGGCUCAACCUCGGAAUUGCAUUUGAAACUGGCAAACUAGAGUACUGUAGAGGGGGUAGAAUUUCAGGUGUAGCGGUGAAAUGCGUAGAGAUCUGAAGGAAUACCGGUGGCGAAGGCGGCCCCCUGGACAGAUACUGACACUCAGAUGCGAAAGCGUGGGGAGCAAACAGGAUUAGAUACCCUGGUAG